rnacentral:rRNA from 1 species
CAAUAGCGUAUAUUAAAGUUGUUGCAGUUAAAAAGCUCGUAGUUGGAUUUCUGGUAGGAGCGACCGUGCUGAACUUGAUUGUUCGAGUAUUGUGUUGUCUUCAGCCAUCCUCGUGGAGAACUAUUCUAACAUUAACUUGUUGGGAUUGGGACCCGCGUCGUUUACUGUGAAAAAAUUAGAGUGUUUAAAGCAGGCGUUAGCUUGAAUACAUUAGCAUGGAAUAAUAAGAUAGGACUUUGGUACUAUUUUGUUGGUUUGCAUACCAAAUUAAUGAUCAACAGGAACAGUUUGAGGAUAUUCGUAUGAACAUGUCAGAGGUGAAAUUCUUGGAUUUUGAUCAGACGAACUACUGCGAAAGCAUUUACCAAGGAUGUUUUCAUUAA